AUUGAACGCUAGCGGGAUGCUUUACACAUGCAAGUCGAACGAGUGGCGGACGGGUGAGUAAUAUAUCGGAACGUGCCCAGUAGUGGGGGUUAACUCCUCGCAAGAGUGGCUCAUACCGCAUCCUAUUGUCGCCGCCGCUACCGGGUUAGCUAGUUGGUGGGGUAAAGGGUCACAAAGGCAACGCUCCGUAGCUGGUUUGAGAGGACGACCAGCCACAUUGGGAGUGAGACACGGCCCAGACUCCUACGGGAGGCAGCAGUGGGGAAUUUUGGACAAUGGGGGAAACCCUGAUCCAGCCAUCCCGCGUGUAUGAGAAGGCCGUCGGGUUGUAAAGUACUUUUGGCAGAGAAGCGGUAUCUGCAGAAUAAGCACGGGCGAACUACGUGCCAGCCGCGGCGGUAAUAC
rnacentral:rRNA from 1 species